rnacentral:rRNA from 1 species
CCUACGGGAGGCAGCAGUGAGGAAUAUUGGUCAAUGGGCGGAAGCCUGAACCAGCCAAGCCGCGUGCAGGAAGAAGGCGCCAAGCGUCGUAAACUUCUUUUGUCGGGGGACAAAGGCCGCCACGUGUAGCUUUGUGAGAGUACCCGAAGAAAAAGCAUCGGCUAACUCCGUGCCAGCAGCCGCGGUAAUACGGAGGAUGCAAGCGUUAUCCGGAUUUAUUGGGUUUAAAGGGUGCGUAGGCGGUCCGGAAAGUCAGCGGUAAAAUCCCGGGGCUCAACCCCGGCGAGCCGUUGAAACUGUCGGGCUAGAGAGGGCGUGAGGUAGGCGGAAUGUGUGGUGUAGCGGUGAAAUGCAUAGAUAUCGCGCAGAACUCCGAUUGCGAAGGCAGCGUACCGG